rnacentral:lncRNA from 1 species
CUGUUAGUGAUUUAGUCCAUUUAGUGGUCUUUGUCUGUGAUCUCUUGUAAAAGCAAGCAGAAAGAUCAGUUUCAGAUUGCAGAUAAUAAAUUUAAGAGAAGCCUGAGGCUCUCGCUAAUUAAUUAACUUCUAAACUAAACGGAGAGGUUUCAAUUAAAUAACUUUGUAAUUCAUAUGUCUGAUUUACGCUAGACUCUAAUUGUAUUAGUAUAAGGUGGGGUAGGCGAUUCUGCCCUAAGUCAUUCUGUAGUAAUACUGGAGUUUGACUCUUCAGGUGAUGGUGUUUUCUGUCCCUCCAGCUACAGAUCAAAGUGAACGGACAGAGAGGUGGACUGGGAAUUUGUAUUGCAGGAGGGAAAGGCUCCUUGCCGUACAAAGAGAAUGAUGAGGUAGGCCUGAUCUUCCUGUAGCUCCACUGCCUGAAUCUCAUUACACACUAUUACUGUCAUACCCUGUGGGUCUAUUUACAAUAAAAUAUCCACAUGGACUGGGAUACUAAUGUGCAUCCAGCCAGCAAUUCGACUGAUGAUAUGAGUUUGCCUGAUUUCCUCCUCCAUAACUAGUAAUUUCCUUCUGGGCACUGAUUGAUUUGUUUUCUUCGUGUCAGGGUAUUUUCAUCUCCAGAGUGUCUAAAGGCGGACCAGCUGAGAAGGCCGGGUUUCAUGUUGGGGACAGAGUGUUGGAGGUCAAUGGUCAAGACAUGCAGGAGGUCAGCCACCAUGAGGCUGUCAGCGUCUUGAGGAAUGCUGGGAGCUGCAUAAAAAUGAAAGUGCUGCGGGAGAGAUGCUUGCCCGUGGAGCCGUGGAUCCACGAGAGCUUUGACACCAUGGAGACAGCAGACCUCCAGGUCAGCCAGGAGUGGGAUGUCACCAUGAGCAAUAACAGAUCAAGUGGCCCACAAUCCUCCACUGAUCCCACAAUGGACUGCAGCCCACUGGCCAUCAGGACGGAAGCUACAGUCUGCAAUGGACAUGGACUGAAUGAUCAGGUACAGGAUUUACAGCUAACGAAAGACACAGCGAGCUUCAAAAAUACUGCCCAACAGGUUGUGAAAAAUACCAUGGCGGUAGGUGUGGAAGACAGAAUCUGUUUCUGUGCCCUAUUGUGUGGAUGUGUGUGUUUUAACAAUUAA